rnacentral:rRNA from 1 species
UCAAGCUACAAAGGGCGCAAGGAGAAUGCCUUGGCACUGGGAGCCGAUGAAAGACGUGGUAAGCUGCGAUAAGCUUCGGGGAGGAGCAAACAUCCUUUGAUCCGGAGAUUUCUGAAUGAGGAAACUCACCAGAGUUCAUACUCUGGUAUCCUGUACUGAAUCCAUAGGUACAGGAGGGGAACCGCCUGAACUGAAACAUCUAAGUAGGGCGAGGAAGAGACAUCAAACGAGAUUCCGUUAGUAGUGGCGAGCGAACGCGGAAGAGGGCAAACCGGAAGGAGAAAUCCUUCCGGGGUAUGGACCGCUUUUAGGACUUUAGCUGUUAAUCGAAUGGCAUGGGAAGGCCAACCAAAGAGUGUGAGAGUCACGUAGAUGAAAACGGCGAGAGCUGCGCGAGUUCCAGAGUACGGCCAGACACGUGAAACCUGGUCGGAAGAUGGGGGGACCACCCUCCAACCCUAAAUACUACCCAGUGACCGAUAGCGUAUAGUACUGUGAAGGAAAGGUGAAAAGGACCCCGGGAGGGGAGUGAAAUAGAACCUGAAACCUUGUGCCUACAAGCACAUAGAGCACAUCAACGUGUGAUAUGGUACUUUUUGUAGAACGGUCCGGCGAGCGAUUGUAUGUUGCGAGCUUAAGGUCUUAAGGACUGGAGGCGCAGCGAGAGCGAGUCUGAAUAGGGCGUUCAGUAACAUGCAAUGGGCCCGAAACCGGGUGACCUACCCAUGAUCAGGCUGAAGUGAAAGUAAAAUUUCAUGGAGGGCCGAACCGACCUCCGUUGAAAAGGCGGCGGAUGAAUUGUGGGUAGCGGAGAAAUUCCAAUCGAACUCGGAGAUAGCUGGUUCUCCCCGAAAUAGCUUUAGGGCUAGCCUCAUAUUAGAUACCCGGAGGUAAAGCACUGAAUGGCCUAGCGCCCGAGAGGGUAGCGAAGCCUAUCAAACUAAGAAUGCCGGAGUAUUGAUGUAUGGGAGUCAGACAGUGUGAGAUAAAUCUCAUUGUCAAAAGGGAAACAGCCCAGAUCUACAGCUAAGGUCCCAAAUUGUAUCUAAGUGGAAAACGAUGUGGAAAUACGCAGACAACCAGGAUGUUGGCUCAGAAGCAGCCACUCAUUUAAAGAGUGCGUAAUAGCUCACUGGUCGAGCGUCUCUGCGCGGAAAAUUUAACGGGGCUAAGAUACAAACCGAAGCUUAGGCUGCAUCGAAAGAUGCGGGGUAGGGGAGCGUUGUGUAAGCGGAGAAACAGUAGCGUAAGCGGCUGUGGAGUUUACAGAAGUGAGAAUGCCGGAAUGAGUAGCGCGAAUGUGGUGAGAAUCCACAUGGCCGGAAACCUCAGGUUUUUGGAGGAAGGUUCGUCCGCUCCAAGUUAGGCGGGAGCUAAGGUCAGGCCGAAAGGCGUAGCCGAUGCACAGACGGUAGAGAUUCCGUCCCCACCGAAAGAUUUAAGCACAGGGACACUUUUUGAAGGUCGGAGCCAGGUGUUGGUUCUGGUAGUGAUCGAGGGAAAUAUAGUACCGAAGUCCGGCUGGAAGAGAGGCGAGAAAAGCUGUGUGUAUAUCUAAGGUGCCCGUACCGCAAACCGACACAGGUAGGUAGGAAGAAGAUUCUAAGGCCAACGGGAGAAGGGUUGUUAAGGAACUCGGCAAAUUGACCCCGUAACUUCGGGAGAAGGGGUGCUCCAGAGAUGGAGCCGCAGAGAAUCGGCCCAAGCAACUGUUUACCAAAAACACAGGUUUGUGCUAAAUCGAAAGAUGACGUAUACGAGCUGACGCCUGCCCGGUGCUGGAAGGUUAAAAGGAGAUGUGCAAGCAUUGAAUUGAAGCCCCAGUGAACGGCGGCCGUAACUAUAACGGUCCUAAGGUAGCGAAAUUCCUUGUCAGGUAAG